rnacentral:rRNA from 1 species
GUCUACUUGAAGCUAUAAGUAGUCUGGCCUGCUCACUGAUAAAAUUAUUUAAGAGCCGCGGUAUAUUGACCGUGCAAAGGUAGCAUAAUCAUUAGAGGUUUAAUUGGAAUCUGGUAUGAAUGGUCGGACAAAGGAAAAACUGUCUUUAUAAUAAAAAUUGAAAUUUACAUUUAAGUGAAAAGGCUUAAAUAGGCCAGGGGGACGAUAAGACCCUAUAAAGCUUUAUAAAUAAUUUAAAUUUAGUUAAUUUAAAUUAUAAAAGCUAAGUUUGGUUGUUUUAUUUUGUUGGGGUGAUGUGAGCAUAAUUAAAAUUAACUGCUUAAAAAAAAUUCUGUAUAAAAGAAUUAUAGUAAUAUGAUCCUUUUUAAAGAUUAAAAGACUAAGUUACUUUAGGGGUAACAGCGUUAUUUCUUUUGAGAGUUCAUAUCGAAAAAGAAGAUUGCGACCUCGAUAUUGAAUUAGAGUAUCUAUAUAAUGCAGCCGUUAUAAAAGAGGGUCUGUUCGACCUUUAAAUUUUUACAUGAUUUGAGUUCAGACCGGCGUGAG